rnacentral:siRNA from 1 species
AAAGUCCAUUGACCAGAGUGU